rnacentral:rRNA from 1 species
UACGUAGGGGGCUAGCGUUGUCCGGAAUCAUUGGGCGUAAAGCGCGUGUAGGCGGCCCGGUAAGUCCGCUGUGAAAGUCGGGGGCUCAACCCUCGAAUGCCGGUGGAUACUGUCGGGCUAGAGUACGGAAGAGGCGAGUGGAAUUCCUGGUGUAGCGGUGAAAUGCGCAGAUAUCAGGAGGAACACCAAUUGCGAAGGCAGCUCGCUGGGACGUCACUGACGCUGAGACGCGAAAAGCGUGGGGAGCAAACAGG